rnacentral:rRNA from 1 species
UCGGGAAUAUUGCACAAUGGACGAAAGUCUGAUGCAGCAACGCCGCGUGCGCGAUGAAGGCCUUCGGGUCGUAAAGCGCUUUUCGGGAGGAUGAGGAAGGACAGUACUCCCGGAAUAAGUCACGGCUAACUACGUGCCAGCAGCCGCGGUAAAACGUAGGUGGCGAGCGUUAUCCGGAUUUACUGGGCGUAAAGCGCGUUCAGGCGGCCUGAUAAGUCGGGCAUGAAAUCUCUCGGCUCAACCGGGAGAGGCUGUCCGAUACUAUUAGGCUUGAGGGCAGUAGAGGAUGGUGGAAUUCCGGGUGUAGUGGUGAAAUGCGUAGAUAUCCGGAGGAACACCUGUGGCGAAAGCGGCCAUCUGGGCUGCACCUGACGCUCAAGCGCGAAAGCUAGGGGAGCGAACGGG